CUCAGUCUGUGUAUAUCCCGGCUGGGAGAGGCUGCCAUUGUGAGGGUUCUCAAAGAGCAUUUCCAAUGUUAAAUAUUCCACCAGAAUAAACGGCUGGCUGCAGAUGGUUCCAUCGUGGUCUCAAUCACACAACGCAACGAGAGAGUACAAAACCGCUACACGGACAUCCGGUCACCUGUUCCUUCUUCACAAUAAAACCCCACAUCUGCGUUUUAUUUUGUGAGAUUUACUGAUUCGAAUGUACGAAUGUUAUGUCAAAUAUUAAAUAUGAAUCUUCUUUAAUGCUUCUCAGUAUUAAAGCUUACACAUGAAAAUACACAUGAGAAAUGUGUUGUUUUCAUGCACAAACAUGAAGACAUAUACACAAAGGGUUCGUUAUUGUGUUUUAAAACAUGAUUUACAACAUUAUAAUACCUGUUAGAACUUUCUGUAAAUCUCAGAAUUAAAAAUAACUGACUCUGGUUCAGUUGUAAAAAUCUGCUGUGCGAUAACAAUUUAUUAUAUUAAUUUAAAUUAUAUCACAUUGUUUUAUAUUUAAACAUAUUUGCAUGAAAGUUGUUAAACUAUAUCUUAAAAUUUAAAAGUUGGUUUGUUGAUAUCUGACUUCCGGUCUUUCUCCCACUAACUGUGGCGCUGCUGACACAAAAUCAAUUGUCGAAUCAUCGUCCACUGUGUUGUACCCUGACUUUAGUCUCACAGGCAGAAUUCAUUCAUCAGUGACCAAAAUUGCAUUAAAGCAUAACAAAACUAUUAAA